AACGAACGCUGGCGGCAGGCCUAACACAUGCAAGUCGAGCGCGCCCUUCGGGGUGAGCGGCGGACGGGUGAGUAACGCGUGGGAACGUGCCCUUUUCUACGGAAUAGCCUCGGGAAACUGAGAGUAAUACCGUAUACGCCCUUUGGGGGAAAGAUUUAUCGGAAAAGGAUCGGCCCGCGUUGGAUUAGGUAGUUGGUGGGGUAAUGGCCUACCAAGCCGACGAUCCAUAGCUGGUUUGAGAGGAUGAUCAGCCACACUGGGACUGAGACACGGCCCAGACUCCUACGGGAGGCAGGAGUGGGGAAUCGUAGACAAUGGGGGCAACCCUGAUGGAGCCAUGACGGGUGAGUGAUGAAGGCCUUAGGGUUGUAAAGCUCUUUCAGCUGGGAAGAUAAUGACGGUACCAGCAGAAAAAGCCCCGGCUAACUCCGUG
rnacentral:rRNA from 1 species